UACGGGGGGGGCAAGCGUUGUUCGGAAUUACUGGGCGUAAAGGGCCAGUAGGCGGCCAACUCAGUCGGAUGUGAAAUCCCCAGGCUUAACCUGGGAACUGCAUCCGAUACUGGCUGGCUUGAAUUCGGGAGAGGGAUGCAGAAGUUCCAGGUGUAGCGGUGAAAUGACGUAGAUAUCUGGAGGAAUACCGGUGGCGAAGGCGGCAUCCUGGACCGACAUUGACGCUGAACGGCGAAAGCUAGGGGAGCAAACGGG
rnacentral:rRNA from 1 species